rnacentral:lncRNA from 1 species
CCAAAACGGAGCAUGGAGUACAUCAUCUGGUUGAUGCUCCGGCUAAUGCCAUUUUUCGACUUGGUGAACCUUUAAAAAAAAAUACAAGUUAGCAAGUUAAUUAAAGCAAAAAAUAUAACAGUACAAAUAAAAAAAAAAUACUAACCAAGUGCUAUGGCCUCGUCGUGGGUUGAGUUGGAGAAACGGGAGAUGCUCUCGACCUGGUUGUUGAACCAAUAGAUGAACCGGCAUGACCCCCAAAUCCUGUUGAGCAGCAGCGUGAGGGGCAGCGUGAGGGGCAGAGGGAGCUGGAGCGGGAAUAUAUGCUGGAACCGAGUCAUGAGACGAUACCGAUGCACGGGAACCGCUCACCGAACUACGUCGAAGACGGGCUGCGGGGCGGGCUUCAUCCUCGGCCCUAAAAAAAAAAAAUUAACCCAUCAAACAUAUUUUCAUUUAUAUAUUUACAAAAGGUUUUAUAAACGUUUUAAAAAAAACUAUUAAACCUUAUAUACAUAUAUAUAUAUAUAUGUAUACAAAAUUAUAAAAAAUUUAUAAAUAUAGAAAAAUGUUGUUAAAAUUUAUAAAUGAAGAAAAAUAGUGUUAAAUAUUUAUAUUUUUUUCAAAAAAACGUUUUUAAAAAUCAAAAAACGUUUUAAAAAAUCAAAAAACGUUUUUAAAAAU